rnacentral:lncRNA from 1 species
UACAUUGUGUUUCACGACUUCGACAGUUUGAAGAGUAUUGGUCAGGUGGAAGCUAUGUAGAAUUCAUAUUCCCAGAAUGCCUUAUAGCUAGGAUAUGAAUGAUUAACCUGGCCUCAGCCAAUUAGAACAUCUGCCAGAGACUUAAGUUCAGAUGUAACCAUCGUGAAGAAGUGGCUGGGCAGGAGUAUCAACUCCGGGCAAAGGAUGUCUCUUCUGAAGCAACAGCGCCCAGGGCUAAGUCAUGUUUGCUCAGCAGGAGUGCUCAUAUUUCUCAAGAGAUGCCUCAGUGGGGUUGGGCAUUAUUCACAGCUGUGUAACCUCAAAAUCUGGCUUUCUGGCCCAAAUGAAUGUUCUGUGAGUUACUUGAAACCCUUUAAUAAAUUCUUUGCCUGCUUAAAAUAGCCACAGUGAAUUCUGUUUGCAACUUAGAACCCCC